rnacentral:rRNA from 1 species
GACGAACGCUGGCGGCGUGCUUAACACAUGCAAGUCGAACGGAAAGGCCCUGCUUUUGUGGGUGCUCGAGUGGCGAACGGGUGAGUAACACGUGAGUAACCUGCCCUUGACUUUGGGAUAACUUCAGGAAACUGGGGCUAAUACCGGAUAGGAGCUCCUGCUGCAUGGUGGGGGUUGGAAAGUUUCGGCGGUUGGGGAUGGACUCGCGGCUUAUCAGCUUGUUGGUGGGGUAGUGGCUUACCAAGGCUUUGACGGGUAGCCGGCCUGAGAGGGUGACCGGCCACAUUGGGACUGAGAUACGGCCCAGACUCCUACGGGAGGCAGCAGUGGGGAAUAUUGCACAAUGGGCGGAAGCCUGAUGCAGCAACGCCGCGUGCGGGAUGACGGCCUUCGGGUUGUAAACCGCUUUCGCCAGUGACGAAGCGUGAGUGACGGUAAUGGGUAAAGAAGCACCGGCUAACUACGU